rnacentral:rRNA from 1 species
UACAGAGGUCCCGAGCGUUGUUCGGAUUCAUUGGGCGUAAAGCGCACGUAGGCGGCUUUGUAAGUCAGAGGUGAAAGCCCGGAGCUCAACUCCGGAUGUGCCUUUGAGACUGCAUCGCUUGAACACGGGAGAGGUGAGUGGAAUUCCGAGUGUAGAGGUGAAAUUCGUAGAUAUUCGGAAGAACACCAGUGGCGAAGGCGGCUCACUGGACCGUUGUUGACGCUGAGGUGCGAAAGCGUGGGGAGCAAACAGG